GCAGAUCUGAGGUCCGGAGCGGGGAAAGUCAUUUACCUCCUAUCACAUAGACUUGACCUUGAGCCUACAGGGUCCUCAGGGGCUUGGACUAGAAAAAGGGAGAAAGCCAUGGCUGGUUAAGGAUUGAGUGGCUGUGUGAGUAGAAAGGGUGGAGGUGGCCAGGGAGGCAAUGGUAAAGGGCCUAGAUGUGGUCCCACGUCCCCCCCACCCCUCUGGUGUUUUGGGGGCGGGGUUGUUAAAAGGUCUGGGAGAAAAAGACCAGCAUUUAACCCAUUAGUGGCUGGAGCUGUGCGUCCGUGUCCAGCCCUCUGCAGCAUCCGGAAGGAGUCGGAGAGAUGCUUGUGGCAGGGAACAGAGGACAAACGGGACAUUGAAGUGACAGCCCAGUAGAGCAAAUGAGGCCAAAGUAGCAGAGGAAGGUCCAUGUGGAGCUUCACCUGAGGGGACACUGGGUAGCCACCUGCCCUCCAGAGCAACCCGAGGGCUGAGGCUUGAGCAGUGCGGCCCGGUGACUAAUUAUCCAACCCAGCUUCCCUCUAGGUCAGGCUGGCCUCAUCCCCGAGACCCUCACCAGACCCUACGCUGGUCCUAUUUGUGCCUGAGACAAUCUUUCGGAAAGCUCUGCUCUUGCGUUUGAGCUGCUCAUUCUGGAUCCUGAGCUCCUGACUCCCUAACUCAUUUGGGACAUGCCUCUGCCACUCCUGGAUUUGGUGCUUGUUCUCAGCUAUGUGGAUUUCUCCCACCCUGGUCCCUGACACUGUUUAAGCGCCCUCUACUGACAAAGCCUAGCAUUCCACCUGCUGGCCGAAGAGAACUGCUCCCAGGGUCCCGCACCGCCAUCACGAAGCCGGCCAAUGAGGGUGAGUCCUGGGCUGAGAGGCAACACAUUGACUAGUGGCACAGAUGGUCACAAAAGCCCCGUUGCGGCAUCGUCCGGGUGACUCUCGGGAGGACGUGUACAAGGCACCCGGCCGGGAGGACAGUGUCACCAGACACGCGCCCCCUUCUGCCUGGCUCUGCUGGCGGGCCUUCCCCAGCAGGGACGGCACCUCCGGCCCCUUUGGUCAUCCAGUCCCCAGCCUGCGAUGUCCCCACUCCCUCAUCCUCGUCCACCUCCCUCAGCCUGCCUCGUGACAGGGCCCCUCCAAGUGUGACAAAGGUCUUGAAGCUGAGACGAGGGCCACCGGGGUGACUGAUGGCAGCUGAGAGGAUGGCGCUGUCCCCGCGGGUGUGCAGGUCCCCUUGCAUUUAGAGCGUGGCCUCCCCCCUUCCCCGCCACUGGCCAGGCAUGGCGUCAGCUCUGUGAUGGCCCCUUGGGAGCAGGGAGGAGGGAACAGCGCCACGCUCCUCGUCCCACUGCUCCAAGGGAGUGGACCCAUCCCUGACGUGUGCCCACCACCCAGCUGCAGCCACAUGGAGGGCAUCGGAGGAAUCCCCCGAUCCUGGAACGUCACAGCUGAAGGGA